UUUAAAUCUUAUAAAAAGCGUCUGGGAUAAACCGAAAGCGGGUUAGGCAAUUAACGCUUUUCGCGCAGUGUAGAUUGGCAGACAGACUGAAAGCGCAGUGGGAGGGUCGCCGCACAGUUAUCAGUAUUAGUUCCAGUCUCGUUCCCAGUACCAAGCCCAAACCCCAACCCGGACUAAGACUCAGACUCAGACUCAGUCUCAGAAACUGAAACAGACUUAAAAUCAAACUGCGGCUGAAACUGAGACGCCGCUGCCGGCGUUGUCUGGAAUUCAUAUUGCCCAUAUGUGAACUCACACACAUACCACACAGACACACACUCACUUAGUGAGACACCGUGUGCCACACGCCCAUUUGCACACAUGGCCAACCGGAUGUUGCAGCCAUCUUUGUCAUCUUUUUCAAUCUCAGCCUUGGCUAAGGUCGCUCCUGCCAUCCGAUGUCCCAUCGACCAGAAAGAGACGGGCGCAGCGAGCGAGCGAGCGAGAAAGAGCCGGGUGGCUGGCGAUGCCGUGAAGUCGUGAAUUUAUAACAAAACGCUAGACUCGGCGACUCUGACCGACUGGUUUGGCGUGUUGGCCCGGCUGAAAUGGUUUUUUUUUUGUUGCUUUUAUGGCCAUAACAAGCAAGCAGCAGAGUAGCAACAACUGUAUCAAAAGCAUACAAAUGCCGCAACCCAAAAACCCACUACACAAAUUCUGAAUGGGCAAAACAUCUGAAUAUUCGAGAUGGUCGAAAGAGAGAGGGCGCGGGGUGGAGCGACGUCGAUAAGGAAGUGCGGACGUCUUUGGGGUCUCGGCUUGGCAAGAUGGAAAUCUUAAUCCAAAUGGAUGUGAAUCUGGAUGGGAAGUCGAGCAACACACACACACACACACAUAAAAGGACUUCUUGGGAACCCAGGCACUUCCGGAAUGGAUGGAUGGCCCGACUCCUGACUUCUCCUGCUGCUGCCUGCUGAAUCCUCCGGCUCUGGUAGCAACUUGACUCCGGGAUCUUGGCGCAACUCGAGUCGGACGCUUCAGAUAAGACUUGGCGUCGUGCGGCGGAGGAUAUCUGGAAACAGGAAUCAGGAUUCAGGCCAACUUGUCAACGAAGCGGCACGCCUAAUGUCCUUUUGAUAGGCCCGCUGGCCGCUCCGCAGGAAGUGGCAACCGGCAACCGGCAGGAGGAAGUGGUGUCCACUGCAGCGGCGCCAGCGCUUGAUAAAUUAUCAUGUGAGCAGAUGCAGAGGGAUGCUGGACAGAGGACGAGGAGGAACGAGGAGCCGCAGUCAGAGGAAGUGGCAGGAUGCGGCUGGCAGCUGCAGCAAAUGAUGCUGCAGAAUAGAACUAACCCGUUCACCUGCGACGAUUUUUAAUCUAUUUUAAAUGUGAUACGACACCAUGGUAAUGGUACGGUGCGACCGGAUGAUGGUUCACAACGACCGUGUCCUUUAAACGGGUCGGUGGGACUUUCGUCCGUUUGUAACGCCAUUUGUCAACGAUUUAUCAGUGUCCGUUCGAGAAUUAUUUAUGAUGCCUUCUUGCACCUGCCGUCCAUCGAUAGUGGCAUUAAUUGAUUCGUAAUUGCAUCCUGUUCCGGAAUUAAUGUUAAGCCGCUAACCCCAAACGCUGUUAAUCUAUAUACCAUGUACUACAUCACGAC